rnacentral:rRNA from 1 species
GUUUGAUCAUGGCUCAGAUUGAACGCUGGCGGCAGGCCUAACACAUGCAAGUCGAACGGUAACAGGAAGCAGCUUGCUGCUUCGCUGACGAGUGGCGGACGGGUGAGUAAUGUCUGGGAAGCUGCCUGAUGGAGGGGGAUAACUACUGGAAACGGUAGCUAAUACCGCAUAAUGUCGCAAGACCAAAGAGGGGGACCUUCGGGCCUCUUGCCAUCGGAUGUGCCCAGAUGGGAUUAGCUUGUUGGUGGGGUAACGGCUCACCAAGGCGACGAUCCCUAGCUGGUCUGAGAGGAUGACCAGCCACACUGGAACUGAGACACGGUCCAGACUCCUACGGGAGGCAGCAGUGGGGAAUAUUGCACAAUGGGCGCAAGCCUGAUGCAGCCAUGCCGCGUGUAUGAAGAAGGCCUUCGGGUUGUAAAGUACUUUCAGCGGGGAGGAAGGGAGUAAAGUUAAUACCUUUGCUCAUUGACGUUACCCGCAGAAGAAGCACCGGCUAACUCCGUGCCAGCAGCCGCGGUAAUACGGAGGGUGCAAGCGUUAAUCGGAAUUACUGGGCGUAAAGCGCACGCAGGCGGUUUGUUAAGUCAGAUGUGAAAUCCCCGGGCUCAACCUGGGAACUGCAUCUGAUACUGGCAAGCUUGAGUCUCGUAGAGGGGGGUAGAAUUCCAGGUGUAGCGGUGAAAUGCGUAGAGAUCUGGAGGAAUACCGGUGGCGAAGGCGGCCCCCUGGACGAAGACUGACGCUCAGGUGCGAAAGCGUGGGGAGCAAACAGGAUUAGAUACCCUGGUAGUCCACGCCGUAAACGAUGUCGACUUGGAGGUUGUGCCCUUGAGGCGUGGCUUCCGGAGCUAACGCGUUAAGUCGACCGCCUGGGGAGUACGGCCGCAAGGUUAAAACUCAAAUGAAUUGACGGGGGCCCGCACAAGCGGUGGAGCAUGUGGUUUAAUUCGAUGCAACGCGAAGAACCUUACCUGGUCUUGACAUCCACGGAAGUUUUCAGAGAUGAGAAUGUGCCUUCGGGAACCGUGAGACAGGUGCUGCAUGGCUGUCGUCAGCUCGUGUUGUGAAAUGUUGGGUUAAGUCCCGCAACGAGCGCAACCCUUAUCCUUUGUUGCCAGCGGUCCGGCCGGGAACUCAAAGGAGACUGCCAGUGAUAAACUGGAGGAAGGUGGGGAUGACGUCAAGUCAUCAUGGCCCUUACGACCAGGGCUACACACGUGCUACAAUGGCGCAUACAAAGAGAAGCGACCUCGCGAGAGCAAGCGGACCUCAUAAAGUGCGUCGUAGUCCGGAUUGGAGUCUGCAACUCGACUCCAUGAAGUCGGAAUCGCUAGUAAUCGUGGAUCAGAAUGCCACGGUGAAUACGUUCCCGGGCCUUGUACACACCGCCCGUCACACCAUGGGAGUGGGUUGCAAAAGAAGUAGGUAGCUUAACCUUCGGGAGGGCGCUUACCACUUUGUGAUUCAUGACUGGGGUGAAGUCGUAACAAGGUAACC